UACGUAGGGGGCGAGCGUUGUCCGGAUUUACUGGGCGUAAAGAGCGCGUAGGCGGGUUCUUAAGUCGGAGGUGAAAGGUUCAGGGCUCAACCCGAACAGUGCCUUUCAUACUGGGAGCCUUGAGUGUGGGAGAGGCGAGUGGAAUUUCUGGUGUAGCGGUGAAAUGCGUAGAUAUCAGAAGGAACACCCAUGGCGAAGGCAGCUCGCUGGCCUACAACUGACGCUGAGGCGCGAAAGCGUGGGGAGCAAACAGG
rnacentral:rRNA from 1 species